GAUGAACGCUGGCGGCGUGCCUAAUACAUGCAAGUCGAGCGAACGGACGAGAAGCUUGCUCCUCUGAUGUUAGCGGCGGACGGGUGAGUAACACGUGGAUAACCUACCUAUAAGACUGGGAUAACUUCGGGAAACCGGAGCUAAUACCGGAUAAUAUUUUGAACCGCAUGGUUCAAAAGUAAAAGACGGUCUUGCUGUCACUCAUAGAUGGAUCCGCGCUGCAUUAGCUAGUUGGUAAGGUAACGGCUUACCAAGGCAACGAUGCAUAGCCGACCUGAGAGGGUGAUCGGCCACACUGGAACUGAGACACGGUCCAGACUCCUACGGGAGGCAGCAGUAGGGAAUCUUCCGCAAUGGGCGAAAGCCUGACGGAGCAACGCCGCGUGAGUGAUGAAGGUCUUCGGAUCGUAAAACUCUGUUAUUAGGGAAGAACAUAUGUGUAAGUAACUGUGCACAUCUUGACGGUACCUAAUCAGAAAGCCACGGCUAACUACGUG
rnacentral:rRNA from 1 species